rnacentral:rRNA from 1 species
GACGAACCGUGCGAACGUUGUUCGGAUUCACUGGGCUUAAAGGGCGCGUAGGCGGGUGGUCAAGUCAGAGGUGAAAUCUUUCGGCUCAACCGGAAAAGUGCCCCUGAUACUGGUCACCUCGAGGGAGGUAGGGGCAUGUGGAACUUCCGGUGGAGCGGUGAAAUGCGUAGAUAUCGGAAGGAACGCCGGUAGCGAAAGCGAC